UCCCCCUGCUCAUCCCUGUCCCUUAUCUUCCCUUUCCCCCCCACGUCUUGUCCUCUCCUGCCAUGCCAACCCAUGGCCUUUCUUGCUCCCUUCUCCUAAGCCGGAUGUAGCUGUCUGAUCUGUAAAUAGUAUUUUGCACCAGUUAAACCAUGGCAAUGACGAAUUUCUUUUAACCCCAAGUACUACUACUGGAAACAAAAUGACAGGGAAACAUUUCAAUUAAUAAACUGUUUUAAUGAAA